rnacentral:lncRNA from 1 species
UGUUUUUCAAUGAAUAGAUUCUAUCUUCUGUUUCUGGCUGUUUUCUAGUUCCUUAAUAUCCCUUCCUAUUGUCAUUUUCAUGACCCUCUUCUGCCUUUGAAGAUCUCCUGGCUCUCCUUUACCCCAUUUCACAUUCCAGGAUGAUUCUUGUGUCACGCCCCUCCAUUUCUCCUCCCAUUACACUUUUUUGUUGUGUGGCAGGACUAUGGGUCAGCAAGGAGGAUCAAGAAGUAAAAGCCAUGUAAUAAAUCAGUUGAGAUAUGUUGCAAAAAGAAAAAUAAAACACCCCACAAGCUAAAAAGGGAAUUCUGUUUGGGGGCAGCACUGUUCUAAAUGCUGGAGACAAAGCAGUGAAUGAUAGCAACUGAGUUACAGAAUGUUAGGGCCGGAAGAAGAGAUCUUUAUGCAACACAAGUUUAUUGCAUAUCCUCAGAAUGCCAGGAGCUGUAGUAGGUCCUGGAGAUUUAACCAUACGCUGGUCUAAAAGCUCUGAGAAGUGGCUCUUUUUGGGAGAGAGGCAACCCAGCCCAGUGAUCCUUGAGACUUGAGACAGCUAGAAUGAAGAUUAAGUCCUUGUUAUUCGUUGUCUUUCUAGUUGGAAUCCCCAGAGAGUUUGCAUUUGAGGAUGGGUCAGUUGACUCUGUGCUCAGGGCUGCUAAGCUUCGAAAGGGCCUGUGAGGUGAGAGGAUGCCAUGUGCUGCCCGUGGGAAUGGUCAUGACAGCGCUAGUGAAAUAAACGAGAUUCUGGAGGAUUUCAUGUUUUUUUCUGUUGAGUAAAGAUAAGAGCGGGAUUAAAAUAUUUUUUAAAAAUAUUUUAUUAUUUAUGGUUACGUUGGAGCUAUUAGCUAUGUAUAAAAAUAAAAAAAGAAGCAACAAAAGGAUAAACAACAAAAAAAAUCGACUGGGCGCAGUGGCUCACGCCUGUAAUCCCAGCACUUUGGGACGCCGAGGCGGGCAGAUCACCUGAGGUCAGGAGUUUGAGACCAGUCUGGCCAGUGUGG